UACGUAGGGCGCAAGCGUUAUCCGGAAUUAUUGGGCGUAAAGAGCUCGUAGGCGGUUUGUCGCGUCUGCCGUGAAAGUCCGGGGCUCAACUCCGGAUCUGCGGUGGGUACGGGCAGACUAGAGUGAUGUAGGGGAGACUGGAAUUCCUGGUGUAGCGGUGAAAUGCGCAGAUAUCAGGAGGAACACCAAUAGCGAAGGCAGCUCGCUGGACGGUACUGACGCUGAGGCGCGAAAGCGUGGGAGCAAACAGG
rnacentral:rRNA from 1 species